AGUGAACGCUGGCGGUAGGCCUAACACAUGCAAGUCGAACGGCAGCACAGUAAGAGCUUGCUCUUACGGGUGGCGAGUGGCGGACGGGUGAGGAAUACAUCGGAAUCUACUUUUUCGUGGGGGAUAACGUAGGGAAACUUACGCUAAUACCGCGUACGACCUACGGGUGAAAGCAGGGGAUCUUCGGACCUUGCGCGAUUGAAUGAGCCGAUGUCGGAUUAGCUAGUUGGCGGGGUAAAGGCCCACCAAGGCGACGAUCCGUAGCUGGUCUGAGAGGAUGAUCAGCCACACUGGAACUGAGACACGGUCCAGACUCCUACGGGAGGCAGCAGUGGAGAAUAUUGGACAAUGGGCGCAAGCCUGAUCCAGCCAUACCGCGUGGGUGAAGAAGGCCUUCGGGUUGUAAAGCCCUUUUGUUGGGAAAGAAAAGCAGCAGGUUAAUACCCCGCUGUUCUGACGGUACCCAAAGAAUAAGCACCGGCUAACUUCGUG
rnacentral:rRNA from 1 species